CAUAAUGCUAACAUCAGGGACGGUAACAGGCGUGCAUUUAUUUUUUCCUCUUGCUAAACUGCAGGUCCUUCUGCUGGCCAAACUCACAACCACUUCUCUUGUCAUCCAACCCACCUUAAAAAAACAUGUUCUGCUCCUUUCCUCAUCAAGGACUGACCAUUUCAAACUCAGGAAGCCCUUAUUUUAUUGGAGUUACCUCUUGUCUGAGCUACUGUGUUCUCAUUCAAUACCUGGGAGCAUGAAAGUCAAGGGAAGAAGGAGUGAGAGCAAACAGGCAGGGUGGUGCACACGUUAGCUCAGACGCCUCCUACAGCAGCCCACCACACUCCACCCCAUAACCCAGUCUCUGUCCGUCCAGCAAUCCAAGGACAACAUGGGAAGAGUACUGGAGUCCAGUUCCUCCCUAGAGUCCUCCAAAAUUCUAGUCUCAUGGACUUCAGGUGGAUUUUGAAAUCCUGGAGGAGGCAACACUGAGCACAGUUGAGAUCUCCAAACCUGACUCCCCAAAAAGCCUGUCCACAGCCGGGCAGGUGGGAGAGGGCACCACAACCGAUGUCCGGCUGUCUUGGUACACACUUAGUAAGCCCUAGAACCCCAGCCCUGUCCUUUCCACACACACAGCACUACUCAUGCAAGGCUCACGCAGAUGCAUCACCAAUCUUCCGAUCGUUCAUUCAUUGUGAGUAACGGGGCAGUGACUCCACUUCCCGGGGAUAACUCGGCUCCAGGUCGUCUAACCCUGAGCUUUUGGAAAGGUCUGCUUUGCAGUCCUACUACCGGUGAGACCAGGGGGCCACGCGUUUGGCUUUCCUGCAAGCAGAGCGAGAGUAAAGAAGCAUUUACCAUCCUGCCCAGAGCUCUCCAGAUACUCCGUCAGGUCGCAGCCGAACGCGCUCGCGGCUCCCUUCCUCUUGAGUUUCUGUUUGGCUCCCUUGUUCUUCAUGAGACCACCGCCCGUGUCCCGCUCCCAGGGAGCAACAUCGGGGGUCCCGUACAGCGUCCGGCCAGAGAAGCAAACAUUAAUCCCCACCAGAUGUUGGGCUGCUCCUGUGGCAGAAGAAGGUCAGGGCGAGAGGAGGCUCCACAGCCCGCAGCAGCAGCGAUCAUAGCCUGAGCCCAGCACGGUUCUCAUCAGAGGCAAGUGGGUGGCGGAUGGGUGCCCGCAUCAGAGCUGGCAAUUUGGGAGCGGGAGGUGGUGGGGGGAUGUCUUUUAGGGAAAAGCAGCGCAAUCCCGGGACCCUCCACAGCCACCUUCUGCGUUUCGCCAGUCGCGCUGUCGCCACUUCCAGCAGAAGGCGUCCCAGUCUGGUCGUCCUCUCUUGGCUUUCGGAGGAGACUGGAAGUUCAAGCGGGCUGAUGAAAAGCGACCGGGGAAGAGUCUGCACAAGGCUCCUCUCUGGCUCCCCCCCUUCCCCUCCUCCUGCUUGGGACAGUCGCAGGAAUGAGAAACCAGCUUCCUGUCCUGACUCCCGCUCAGUCGCUCUCUCCUUUCCCCCGUUUUACAAAUCCUAGGAUUAUCCAGCUCAAAAAAAAAAAAAAAAAGCUGAAAGGAAGUUAGCUGAGGAGGGGGGCGGAGGACGCUUUUUGGCAGUGAAGUGCGUGUGUAUGUGUGUCUGUGUGUGUGUGUGUGAGGCUGAGGGAAGGCGGGGAGAGGAGCUGGGGGACAGGGAUGGGAUGGGGGAGAAGAAGAGGGAGAGCUUGUCCUGCCAGAUAACGGGGCUGUCCGGGAGGAAAGCGCUGUGGGGCGAUGCAGGCGCUUCCUGCUCUGCUCGCAGGGUCCUUCUCUGCAAGGCGCCUUCCUGCCCUCCAACAUGACUCUGCCACUGCAGCAUCUGCCUUCCUCUGCAGAGGUGCGGGCUGGAGCGGCUGAAGUGCAAGAAAGGGGACAGAGAGCUGGGAAAUUAAAGAGGGAAACCUUCAGCUCCCUCCUCCCCGGCAAGCAGAAACAGAUGCUGUCCGGGCGUCUAAGUUCACAUACUUUUGAGUCAGCUCCCAAAAAAGGCUCCCCCUGAACAACAAAGGGGUUUAGAUAAGGAGCUGAAAUGACUCAGUACAGCAAGAAGGGAAAUGGGACAGGUCUGCCUUCAGGCCCCGAGCCUUGUCUGUGUCAUCGUCCCCUUUCACCCCACAAGUGCUUUUCUGGUCCAGUUUUCAGUACACACGUGUCAGCUCAAAAGAGCAGUUCCUUGCACUUACUUCACGUUUUUUUAUCCCAGAAAUUCAGAUUUCUUCACAGGACUGGGUAUGCCCACCAGCGUACCCGGGGAGGCAAAAUGUACUCUCCUAAGGCUUCACUGACCCUUCUUCUGUGCCAAAUGUAGCUGUAUGGGUCUGGGUUACAAAAUGAACGAACAAAUGAAAAACAGGAUACCGCAGCUUUUCACCAAAAAUCAGGCCAAAGACAAGGAAAGUCAUUUUGGUUCGGAGGAAAACUGGCCAGGAAAUGGUGCAAAGGACACCCUUAACCCACCUCCCUUCACAAUCCUCAGCUCUGCACUCUCAUGGGGCAGAGGAACCCGUCUGCAAACUCACCACCUCACUCACUGAGAGUAAUUUUUCAGAGAAAUCAAGCCCCUGUCUGAGAUCUGACCACUGCCAAAAUCAAUUCAGGUUCUGUUGGUACGGUGACUAAUUUUUCCUUCAGAAGUGUUGGAUGUUACCACUUCAUGCCUAAGAAAAAACACCAAAGGACCUAGUGAGGGACCUUGUACAAUUACAGCUCCGAUUUUGCAGUUUAUCACUGCAAUUAUCAUAAUUAUCCCCAUUUUACAGCUUGAUGCCUGACGCGUUGAGGGGAAAAUGAUUUGCAGAAUGUAUCAUAGAGGUGUCUGGCCCGUCACCUCCCUGCCUUCUGCUCCCACUUGCAAGCUAAGGAGGAAAACUGAGCUCUCACACCAGACCAGUGCUUGUUCUCAGGAACCCUCAUGAAACACUUAGAACUUCCUUGAAUUUAUUCUGAGCAUCUCACAGCACCUUGAUGUCGAGUCAGAGCAUGGGAUCCCUCCCUGCACCGGCGUGCCACCAAAGCCAUCGCGUGCCACAGCGCAUCCUGCCUGCCUGCCAAGGGCCGCACUUCACACAGCUUGCACAGACAACAGGACGCUCAGACCUGGAUGCCUUGCCAGGCCAUCCUCCCACUGUGACUGGCUGCCUUCUGUAGGAAGAUAAAGCCCUGUCCCAGCCUCCUCAGGGAGGAGGCAUGUCCUGCUGCAGUUGCCAGCCCUUUCACACACAGCUGAGUCUCCACACUGGACCAGCGGUGAGAGAACAGGUUCACCACGGCAAGUAACCACACCAUCUUCUUUGAAGUCCCAAACUCCCCCCUUCAGCCCCCUCCCUCCCUCCUACCCUGAGCUAAACAAGAUGUUUAAUCUCACUGGUCUCCUCCGCUGCUCUACAUCAGACGGAGGUCACAUCACUAACAGGAUCUGUGUCCACCUGUACUUUCAUCUUGUAACCCUCCACAUCACACUCCUGCCCCAUCUCCGUUGCCCUCCCUCAUCUUAGAUAUGGUUUCUCCACUCCCCUCUUGCAAGUUUAUCCAAACAGAAUGUCUUCCAAAGAGAAUGUUUUCAUUUUAAAAUAAAUAAAUUUUAAAAAUAUAAUCA
rnacentral:lncRNA from 1 species